CCUACGGGUGGCAGCAGUGAGGAAUAUUGCACAAUGGGGGAGACCCUGAAGCAGCGAAGCAGCGUGAAGGAAGACGUAUCUCUGGAUGUAAAGCUCUAUCAGCAAGGAAGAAGAACGACGGUACCUGACUAAGAAGCACCGACUAACUACGUGCGAGCAGACGCGGUAAUACGUAGGAGGCGAGGGUUAUCCGGAUUUACUGGGUGUAAAGGGAGCGUAGACGGCUGUGCAAGUCUGAAGUGAAAGCCCAGGGCGCAACCCUGGGACUGCUGUGGAAACUGGCGAGCUAGAGUGCUGUAGAGGUAAGCGGAAUUCGUGGUGUAGCGGUGAAAUGCGUAGAUAUCAGGAAGAACCCCAGUGGCGAAGGCGGCUUACUGGACAGUAACUGACGUUGAGGCUCGAAAGCGUGGGGAGCAAACAGGAUUAGAUACCCGUGUAGUC
rnacentral:rRNA from 1 species